GGAAAAGCCUACCCAUGGCAGAAUAAAACACAGGAAUAUGAUUUAUUUUAUUGUUCAAGAAAAGGCAGAUACAGUUAUAAAAAAAUAAAUCAUUACUGCGCAACACAGCAUUCAGCCCAGACAUGAACCCAAAAGACUUUUCGCACUAUGAAUAUAAUUACCUCUAUAGGAUCUACCACUUCUUUGCAGGAGGAAAACUACUUCCGUACAAAGAUCUCCCCCAACAACACACACCAUACAACACCCACGAUUUUUUCAGACACAUACAGCUAAAGAGCUUUCUGGAACUCCCGGAAAACACAACAGCAGCCACCACCAGACACACACCAUUUGAACGAGCAUGUAUACACAACCCAGCCCGCAAGGGCCAGAUCACAGACAACUACACAUUACUAAUUACUGCUCAUCCCCCAGGAGCAAUGGCC